rnacentral:rRNA from 1 species
UAGGGAAUAUUGGACAAUGGGCGCAAGCCUGAUCCAGCCAUGCCGCGUGAGUGAAGAAGGCCCUCGGGUUGUAAAGCUCUUUUGUCCGGAAAGAAAAGCAUCGGGUUAAUACCCCGGUGUUCUGACGGUACCGGAGGAAUAAGCACCGGCUAACUUCGUGCCAGCAGCCGCGGUAAUACGAAGGGUGCAAGCGUUACUCGGAAUUACUGGGCGUAAAGCGUGCGUAGGUGGUUCGUUAAGUCUGAUGUGAAAGCCCUGGGCUCAACCUGGGAAUGGCAUUGGAAACUGGCGGACUGGAGUGCGGUAGAGGGUAGCGGAAUUCCCGGUGUAGCAGUGAAAUGCGUAGAGAUCGGGAGGAACAUCCGUGGCGAAGGCGGCUACCUGGACCAGCACUGACACUGAGGCACGAAAGCGUGGGGAGCAAACA